AUAUAUGGUCAAGCGAAUAAGGAUCCAUGGUGGAUGCCUUGGAGCUAUCCGACGAUGAAGGCCGUGGUAAGCUGCGAAAAGCUGGGUUAAGGAGCAAACAUCCUUUGACGCCCAGAUUGCCGAAUGGGGUAACCCAAUAGACUGGAUGUCUAUUACCUUUACAUGAAUAAAAUAGUGUAUUGGAGUGAGACUCAGGGAACUGAACCAUCUAAGUACCUGAAGGAAAAGAAAUCAAACGAGAUUCCCUUAGUAGCGGCGAGCGGACGGGGAAUAGCCCAAACCUUUACUGUGUAAUAUCUGCACGGAGUUGCAGUAGGGGUGUUGUAGGAUGUACUGUUUUGUAUUGUGUGAUGCGAACUGCAGUAAGAAACUAUAUUAGUAGCAGAAAUUAGCUGGAAAGCUAGUACCAGAGUGGGUGAUAGUCCCGUAAGCGAAACUAAUAUAGCUGUAGAGUAUAUUCCUGAGUACAGCGGGACACGAGAAAUCCUGCUGGAAUCUGGGGGGACCACCCUCCAAGGCUAAAUACGAGAUAGCUACCGAUAGUGAACGAGUACCGUAAGGGAAGUGGUGAAAAGCACCCCGGGAGGGGAGUGAAAUAGACCUGAAACCGUGGAUUUACAAGUGGUCAAAGCGUCCUUGAGACGUGAUGGCGUGCCUUUUGUAGAAUGAGCCUGCGAGUUACGUUAAUAUGCAAGGUUAAGGUAUAGAAGUACCGGAGCCGGAGGGAAACCGAGUCUUAAUAGGGCGCCAAGUAUGUUGCCGUAGACCCGAAGCCGAGUGAUCUAUUUAUGAGCAGGUUGAAGCUUGAGUAAAAUCAAGUGGAGGACCGAACACUAGUCUGUUGAAAAAGGCAGUGAUGACUUGUGAAUAGGGGUGAAAGGCCAAUCAAACUCGGAGAUAGCUGGUUCUCGUCGAAAUGGUUUUAGGAUCAGCGUGAUAUGAUUUUUGUCGGAGGUAAAGCACUGAUUAGGCUAGGGCCCUUCACCGGGUACCAAACUUAUUCAAACUCUGAAUACCGAUAAACAAAAUAUUGCAGUGAGACUGUGGGUGAUAAGAUCCAUGGUCAAGAGGGAAAGAGCCCAGACCGUCAGCUAAGGUCCCUAAACUAUGCUAAGUGGAGAAGGAAGUUCGAUUGCAAAGACAGCCAGGAGGUUGGCUUAGAAGCAGCCACUCCUUGAAAGAGUGCGUAAUAGCUCACUGGUCGAGUAGUCGAGCGCCUAAAAUGUAACGGGGCUAAGCAUAGUACCGAAGCUACGGAUUCGUAUUAAUACGGAUGGUAGACGAGAGUUGUGUAGGCUGUUGAAGGUGAUCUGGAAGGAUUGCUGGAGGUAUCACAAGUUAGAAUGCAGGCAUGAGUAACGAAAAGGAAGGUGAGAUCCCUUCCCGCCGAAAGCCUAAGGGUUCCUGGGUAAAGGUUUUCUUCCCAGGGUGAGUCGGCCCCUAAGACGAGGCUGAAGAGCGUAGUCGAUGGGAAACUGGUUAAUAUUCCAGUACUUCUGUUAAUUUCGAUGGGAUGACGCAUAAGGAGAUUCUAUGCCGGAGAAUGGUAGUUCCGGUCCAAGCAACAAGCUUUUGAGAGAUGUAGGCAAAUCCGCAUUUUGAGGUGAGUUGUUAAGGGUACUAAACCUACGGGUGCAGGAAGAUAGAGGAUUCAUCGUGCCAGGAAAUAAUCUCUAAGGUUCGAUUAACAGGAACCGUACCGCAAACCGACACAGGUAGGCGAGCUGAGUAUGCUAAGGCGUACGGGAUAACUCGGGUUAAGGAACUCGGCAAAUUACAUACGUAACUUAGGGAGAAGUAUGGCCUACUCCGCGAGGAGAGGUUGCAAAAAAGAGGUCCAAUCGACUGUUUACCAAAAACACAGGUCUCUGCGAAAUCGUAAGAUGAAGUAUAGGGACUGACACCUGCCCGGUGCCGGAAGGUUAAGAGGAGUUGUUAGAUUUAUCGAAGCAGCGAAUUGAAGCCCCGGUAAACGGCGGCCGUAACUAUAACGGUCCUAAGGUAGCGAAAUUCCUUGUCGGGUAAGUUCCGACCCGCACGAAUGGUGUAACGAAUUGGACGCUGUCUCAACCCGAGACCCGGUGAAAUUAAAGUAUCGGUGAAGAUGCCGAUUACAUGUGGUUAGACGGAAAGACCCCGUGAACCUUUACUGCAGCCUGAUAUUGAAAUCUGGUUAAACAUGUGUAGGAUAGGUGGGAGACUAUGACCCCUGAUCGUUAGGUUGGGGUGAGUCGUUGGUGAAAUACCACCCUUGUUUAAUUAGUUUUCUAACAGAAGCCGUUAUCCGGUUUUUGGACAAUGUCUGGUGGGCAGUUUGACUGGGGCGGUCGCCUCCUAAAGAGUAACGGAGGCGCGCAAAGGUUACCUUGAUCUGGUUGGAAAUCAGAUUGUAAGUGCAAAGGCAGAAGGUAGCUUGACUGCGAGACUUACAAGUCGAGCAGGUACGAAAGUAGGUCUUAGUGAUCUGGCGGUCCCGAGUGGAAGGGCCGUCACUUAACGGAUAAAAGGUACUCCGGGGAUAACAGGCUUAUUUUGCCCAAGAGUUCAUAUCGACGGCAAAGUUUGGCACCUCGAUGUCGGCUCAUCGCAUCCUGGGGCUGAAGCAGGUCCCAAGGGUUUGGCUGUUCGCCAAUUAAAGCGGUACGUGAGCUGGGUUCAGAACGUCGCGAGACAGUUCGGUCCCUAUCUGCCACAUGCGUUGAAUGUUUGAGAGGAUCUAUUUUUAGUACGAGAGGACCGAAAUGGACGAACCUCUGGUGUAUCUGUUAUCGUGCCAACGGUAAUUGCAGAGUAGCUAAGUUCGGGAGGGAUAACCGCUGAAAGCAUCUAAGUGGGAAGCCCGCCUCAAGAUGAGACAUUCCUGAGAGUUUAACUCUCCUAAAGGGACCAGAGAGAUGAUCUGGUUGAUAGGCCUCAAGUGUAAGUGCAGUAAUGUAUUUAGCUGAGAGGUACUAAUCUCCCGUGAGGCUUGACCAUAU
rnacentral:rRNA from 1 species